GCACUAGUUUGCGGAAGUGGUCCAGCGACUGCAGCCGGGCUCAGGUUGCUUGGGGGCCCGGCCUGCCCCGCAGCCGGUGGCCGGCAUGGUGCAGUUAUACAACUUGCACCCAUUCGGGUCUCAGCAGGUGGUGCCCUGCAAGCUCGAGCCCGAGCGGUUCUGCAGCGGGGACCCUGAUGCGCUAUUCGUGGCCGCAGGCUGCAAGGUGGAGGCGUUCGCGGUGGCCGGCCAGGAUCUGUGCCAGCCGAGAUGCGCCUUCUCGACGCUGGGCCGGGUGCUGCACCUGGCUUACAGCGCGGCUGGAGACUAUUUGGUAGCAAUUGAAGAGAAAAACAAAGCUACAUUUCUACGUGCUUAUGUGAACUGGAGAAGUAAAAGGACUGAAAACGCUCGAGUGUGUAUCCGAAUGGUUGGGCAUAAUGUGGAGCCACCCUUCCGAGAAACCUUCAGGGACCAGAUGACUAUUGUUGAAAUGCCACUGUCUGAGGCCCCCUUGUGCAUUUCCUGUUGUCCUGUGAGAGGAGACCUUCUUGUUGGCUGCACAAAUACGUUAGUCUUAUUUAGUUUGAAGUAUCAGGUGAUUAAUGAAGAAUUCUCAGUAUUGGAUUUUGAACGUUCUUUAAUUAUACACAUACAUAAUAUCACUCCUGUUGAAAUUUCUUUCUGUGUUGGAUAUGUGGCUGUCAUGUCAGACUUAGAAGUCUUACUCCUAAAACUGGAGUCAAACCCUAAAAAUGGAGAGAGUGUUCACUACCAUCCACAUAAUACCAACAUUCCAGUGAAACAGGCAGAAGGCAUCAGUAAUGAAACUUUGCAGCUCGAAUCAGAUGAUUUUGUUAUCUGCCAAAAGCCCAUGGAACUUCUUGGUGAAAAAAGUGAACAGUCUGGAGUAUCUGUUACACUGGAGUCAACAGGAUUAGAUGAUGAAAAAAUGAAAUAUUUCCAUGUUCAGUAUCUGCUCUAUAGACGUUUUGCUCCUGACAUUUCGUCCUAUGCCUUGUCUGAUGACGUUAAGUUGCAUUCACUUCAGCUGCUACCUAUAUACCAAACAGGUUCUCCUUCUUCUGAGAGAAUAAAUUUGCCUCAGGAAAAAGAGUUGCUGAGUCUCUUUUGUUUUUUCUCAUUACCUCAUGUGGGCUAUCUCUACCUGGUGGUCAAAUCGGUUGAAUUAAUGUCAGUUUACCAAUAUCCUGAGAAGUCUCAGCAGGCAGUGCUCACACCUCAAUUUUUGCAUGUCAUCACAAGUAACAACCUGCAGUGUUUCACCGUGCGGUGCAGUGCGGCAGCAGCUCGUGAGGAGGACCCAUAUGUGGACUCCACCCUGAAGGCUUGCCCACCUGUCAGUAUGGAUGUCUGUGCUUUAAGAAUUCAGCUUUUCAUAGGCUUGAAAGCCAUCUGUCACUUUAAAAACCACAUUGUACUUCUGACCAAGGCAGACCCUGAGGCCAUUCCAGAGAGGAGAGAGUCACCCAAGAGGCUUCUUUCUAGAAAAGGUCCCAGUGUUAAGCUGAAAACACCUCCUGUAGCUGAGGCUGGGUGGAAUUUGUAUAUUGUGAAUACAGUCUCACCAGUGCAACUAUACAGAGAAAUGGUAGACUACAGUAAUACCUACAAGACUACAAAAACCCAGAGCUGCAUCCACCUUCUUAGCGAGGCUCAUCUGUUAGUGAGAGCUGCCCUGAUGGAUGCUGGUCAGCUGGAACCUGGAGAAAAAGUGGAGCUUUUAGAAGCAUUUAAAGAAAGCUGUGGGCACCUUGGAGACUGCUAUAGCAGGCUUGACACCCAGCAUUCCCACCUCGCCUUGCCCUACUACAAGAUGUCUGGUUUGUCUAUGGCUGAGGUUUUGGCUCGAGUGGACUGGGCAGAAGAGGAUGGAUCACAGAAAUAUGAGAGGGGAUUGAUCUUUUACAUUAGUCAUUCGCUUUAUGAAAACCUGAAUGAAGAAUUAAGUGAAGAAUUAGCAGUAAAAGUGGUUAAGAUGUUUCAUGUGGCUGAGCCAAAGCAGCUGCCCCAUGUUCUCUGUAGUCCUUCUAUGAAGAAUAUUAAUCCUUUAACUGCCAUCAACUAUCUAAGGAAACUGGAUACUUCUGGGUUUUCAUCAAUCUUAGUGACAUUGACCAAAGCAGCAAUGGCUCUGAAAAUGGGAGAUCUUGACAUGUACAGAAAUGAAAUGAAAAGCCAUUCAGAGAUGAAGUUGGUAUGUGGAUUUAUUCUUGAACCUCGGCUAUUGAUUCAACAGAAGAAGGGACAGAUUUUCCCAACUGAGCUUGCAGUUCACUUGAAGGAGACUCAGCCUGGAUUGCUUGUGGCUUCAAUCCUGGGCUUACAGAAGAACAACAAAAUUGGAAUUGAAGAAGCAGAUUCCUUUUUUAAGGUGCUUUGUGGUAAAGAUGGAGAUACCAUUCCUCAGCUCUUAGUGGACUUUUGGGAAGCACAGCUGGUAGCAUGUCUCCCAGAUGUGCUGCUGCAGGAACUCUUUUUCAAACUCACAUCACAGUACAUCUGGAGAUUAUCAAAGAGGCAGCCCCCAGACACCGUACCGUUGAGAACAUCAAAGGAUCUGAUAAACGCCUGUAGUCAUUAUGGCUUAAUCUAUCCAUGGGUUAAUGUCUUAAUAUCAUCUGAUUCCUUAGCUGACUCACAUUACACAGAAGAUCUCUCCAAAUUACAGUCUCUUAUGUGUGGUCCUUCAUUUGACAUAGCUUCCAUUGUUCCAUUCUUGGAACCACUCUCAGAAGACACAGUUGCUGGCCUCAGCGUCCAGGUUCUGUGUCGGACGCGUCUGAAAGAGUAUGAGCAGUGCAUCGACACACUGCUAGAGAGGUGCCCAGAGGCCAUCAUUCCUUAUGCUAAUCACGAACUGAAAGAAGAGAAUCGGAUAGACUUUGUGGUGGAAAAAACUGCUUCCUGAACUUUGUCAGAGAAUAAAAUGUGGUGGAGAGAAGUACCAACUCUACUUGUCAUCAUUAAAGGAAACACUGUCAGUUGUUGCUGUGGAACUAGAACUACGGGAUUUCUUGAAUGUUCUUCCAGAAGAUGGCGCUGCAGCAUUUUUCUUGCCUUACCUUCUUUACUGCAGCCAAAAGAAAUCAUUGACUUGAAGGUGUCCUUUGAAACUCAGCACUAUAGCAUAUGAGACUGAAUUUUCAAAACUUGAAUGCAAGGUAAAAAUAAAGGAUUUUCACAUUGUAUAUGUACAUAUACUGCAGAUGCUUUCAGGUUGCUUACCCUUACCAUGGUAUUUCAUAAUUUAUUACCUGAAUCCAUUUGAUUGUCCAGAUAUAAAAAAGCUACAAGGCAUAAGAAUUUCCUCAAAGAAGGCAUAUAUUUUUAAAGGCAGACACUGACAUUUAUUUCAAGGAACAUCAGUUUACUGUUGUUGGGGACAUGACAGUCUUUUUAUCCCACAAACACAGAGAACAGUUUUGCAAGUUUGUGUGAAAAUGUCACUCCAAGUAGUCCAGAAUUUCUUGAUUUUUCCAGUUUUUUUCUAUUGGGUUGCUUUUUAAAACAAAUUUCCCACAAAAGAUUUCAGACUUUUUUGUUGUUGUUAUUACUUUUAAAACUCAUGCAGCAUUUCUCUCUGAAUCAAAGGAAGUAGAAAUUAUAAAACUGACUUUCUUGUCUGGCUAUUGACAUGAUUUGUUUGAAUGCAUGUUUUUCAGCCAAAACAUUAUUUCCACUUUUGUUGAUGUGUACUCUUGCUCUUUCAGCUAGAGUGUAUGUGAAAAUAAAAGAAUAUGUCAUUGUAUU